CGAACGCUGGCGGCGUGCUUAACACAUGCAAGUCGAACGCGAAAGGUUCUUUCGGGGACCGAGUAGAGUGGCGCACGGGUGAGUAACGCGUAAGUAAUCUACCCCUGUAUCUGGAAUAACCUACCGAAAGGUGAGCUAAUACCGGAUACGUUUGCGAUGACGCGAGUUGUUGCACAGAAAGGAGGCCUCUGCAUAUGCUUCCGUACAGGGAUGAGCUUGCGUACCAUUAGCUAGUUGGCAGGGUAAUGGCCUACCAAGGCGACGAUGGUUAGCGGGUCUGAGAGGAUGAUCCGCCACACUGGAACUGGAACACGGACCAGACUCCUACGGGAGGCAGCAGUGAGGAAUAUUGCGCAAUGGGGGAAACCCUGACGCAGCGACGCCGCGUGGAUGAUGAAGGCCCUUGGGUCGUAAAAUCCUGUCAGAUGGAAAGAAGUGUUAUGGAGCUAAUACCUUCAUAGCUUGACGGUACCAUCAAAGGAAGCACCGGCUAACUCCGUGCCAGCAGCCGCGGUAAUACGGAGGGUGCAAGCGUUGUUCGGAAUUACUGGGCGUAAAGCGCGCGUAGGCGGUUUGAUCAGUCAGAUGUGAAAGUCCCCGGCUCAACCGUGGAAGUGCAUUUGAAACUGUCAGACUUGAGUAUUGGAGGGGGUGGUGGAAUUCCCGGUGUAGAGGUGAAAUUCGUAGAUAUCGGGAGGAAUACCGGUGGCGAAGGCGACCACCUGGCCAAAUACUGACGCUGAGGUGCGAAAGCGUGGGGAGCAAACAGAAUUAGAUACCCUGGUAGUCCACGCGGUAAACGAUGAGAACUAGGUGUUGGGAUGGUUAAUCGUCUCAUUGCCGCAGCUAACGCAUUAA
rnacentral:rRNA from 1 species